CGCCGCUUUAUUACGCAAUAAUAUAUAUGAAUAUGACAAUUCUUGCGUUUUUUGUUGAAAAAGAUUCAAAGCAAAAUUCACUACAUGAAGUUUAUAUAAUUCAAACAUUUACAAAACAAAACAUUUGCUCCGGAGUGAAAGCAUAAAAUUGGUUUCAAACAACGGAUGGUCGGUCUUCCAUUUUGCUGCACACAAUAAUGAUGUCGCAAUAAUGGAUAUUAUAAGUGAAAAUGCAAUAAAAAGCUGUCACAACCUACAUCAAAGUAUUGUGAAAACUCUAAGUUUACCGAUAUAAUAUAUGCCAUUAAUACUAGAGAUAAACUUGGCUGGACUCCUCUUCAUCUAGCGUCUGCUUUGUGUAAAUAUGAAGUUGUGGAUUUUCUUAUGAGAAAAGGUGUAGAUGCUCAUUUAGUUGACCUUGAUGGAAAAACACCUUUUCAUUCUGCCAGCAAUAAACGGAUUACUAGUUUUCUAUUCAAACAGAGUCAUACAAAAUACAUGUUAAGUAAGGAAUCCAUCAAGACAUUUAAAAAUGAAAGUCAUUCACAUGAAGACGAUGAUUUCGGGACAGAAAUUCAUGAUAAUAUGAAGAACUGGCAACCCUCUUUCAUUUCGUUAAUCUAUGUUACAUGUAUGAAUUUUCUUAUUAUUUUCAACUGUAAAGAUGAAAAGUGAAGAUGACAGCAUAGAAUCCGUACAAAUGCUUUUAGGAAAAAGUGCUAACCACUUAUUUUAUAACACGAGCAGUUACCUACCAAAUGAUGUUGCCUUCAAUCGAAGCUCGUACGAAGUAAAACGCUUCCUCGAUAUGUAUACAAUGCAUGUAGCGAAGAGGAGUAUGUGGGUACUAGUUUUAAUAUCAAUCAUAACAUUCCUUUUGGUCAUAUUCCUUUGUCUAGUUCCUUUCUACGUUUUUCCAAGCUAUGAAAAUAAUGAUGUUUAUAACAAUUCAUAUUAUAUGAAUACUGCCACUGCCUGUAUCUUAUUCGAUUAUCCAAAUAGAACUUCACAUAGUGAUGUAAUUUUUAUCCAGUA
rnacentral:lncRNA from 1 species